ACCUCUGUAGCUCAAGGGAUAGAGCGCCAGUUUACGAAGCUGUGGAUGGGAGUUCGAAUCUCUUCAGGGGUACCA
rnacentral:tRNA from 1 species